GCCUGGGUGGCUCAGUGGUUGAGCGUCUGCCUUUGGCUCAGUGUAUGAUCCUGGGGUCCUGGGAUCGAGUCCCAAAUCAGGCU
rnacentral:tRNA from 1 species